rnacentral:misc_RNA from 1 species
AAAUGAUAAGUGCAUUCCGACAGAGGGGCUUCAGAUGAAUAUUCAUAACACAUAUUUGGAAAUAUCAUAGAAAAAAUAAAUAACAUGAUUUUGCAGAAUGGUAGACUUCUUAGGCACAAUAUGGGAAACAACCGCUAAGCAAUAUCUAUAGGCUCUCACAGAUUCAGGUUUCGAUGGAACUAGUUUGAAGAGGUGGUGGUCAGAGAUCAUGGAUUCUGUUGUUCAUACAUAUUUGCAAACUAUACAAUAUUUUUAUUACAGGAUUGGUUACCAGACAUCGGCUUCCUUUGUGGCACCGAAAAUAAUUGCAACUGUGGCAAGAACAGCAGCAAUUGAGCAAGCAACAUAUCCUGGUUUCUCACGGUAGUCUACCCUGCCACAUAGUAUAAGAACUGCUCCAGCAUACCAUGGGAUAGCAGGAAGGAAGAAACCAAUAAUAAACAGGAACCACCCGAUGCCAAUACCGCAGCAAGGAAGGCGCUGCUCUCUCACUGGUCUUCCUUCAACAAUAGCAUAUCCGGGGACAGCUUGAUAGCCAUGAGCAUAUUGCUGAUAUUGAGAAGGAUCGUCGGAGUCGGAGACACCAGGCGGGCGAGUAGGCUGGGGAAAUCCGACGGGAGGAUAGUUAGCGACGCCUUGGAAGGUUCCGUAGUGAGGGUGGCCGGAAUUGGAUUCGUGAUGGUGGUGGACGACGACACCCACAGUGGCGGAUUUGUCUUCCUGGCUCAUUUUUCUCUCUCUUUAGAAACGAGAGUGUAGGCCG